AUCCAGCCGAUGAGUCCCAAAUGGGACGAAACGCACGUCCUAGAU
rnacentral:hammerhead_ribozyme from 1 species